AAAUAUAGAUUUUAUAACAUAGAAAUUUUAUAUUAUACUUUUAUUUAUGAAAAAUAUUAUUAAUAUGAUGUAUGUUUGUGUAGAUUUGUAGUACCGGUUUCAUAUGUUUGGGUGAGGAUUAAUCAUAUAAAUUAUUUAAUGUGUGUAUGAAAUAAAUUGUUAUUUAUGAAAUGUGUUUACGUUAAUUAUUUAAUGUGUGUGUCAAUUUUUAUACUUUGUUUAAAGGUUUAUUAUAAUUAGUUUUAUAAAUAUAUUAAAUGGGUUUGAAACUGUGGUUUUUAGACUGUAAACUAAUUUCUCUGUUUUGAUAUAUAAGUAGUUUUAGCAAAAAAUGUUUGUUUCAUAAUGUAAAAAGUUUACAUAAUCUAAAGCAUCUUUUACAUUUAUUACAUGUUAUAUGACCAAUCAAAUAAUUCAUAUAUUUUUGUUAUUGAUUGAAUUUAUAUAUUAAAUGCUAUUUUUCAAAAGUAAAUUUUUUUAAUAUUCACACUUUUAAAUAAAACUACUUGCAAAUAAAAACAGAGUAUUUAAUAAAGUCAAUAAGGCCAAACAAUUUAGUCAAUUUAAUACAAAAAAAUUUACCAUGUUUAAGUGUGCUUCCGACAGCAAUAAGAUCCGGCUCAAAAACCUAAAAAAUCUACAUUAUUUUAAAUAAAAAAGACCAAAAUUUUUACUGUUCAAUUUACUAAAAAAAGGUUUUAAAAAGUCUCUGUCGAAAGUUCAUCAAACCUCCAAAUCUAGAAUCAGCGAUCGAUUUAGAAAGCGCUAGAGUCAUCCUCUCCCUAACCGAUUUGAAGUGAGUUCCAAAAAUUGAGAGGAUCGGGUUGGUUUUUCUUAUUCAUCUAAACAAAUACACGAUCGUUGUUAAACUGGGGGUAAAUUUAUGACAUCUCCGAUCAGAUUCGAUUUUGACUCUAGAAGGAUCAAGCUCUUUUUGAAAGAGCCGGCAAAAAAAAGGCUGUUUAGAUUCCGGAAGCUAUUAGUGGUUCGUUUUAAGCACGAGCUCGUUUCGACUACUUAAAGCACGACAAUCUUCUUACCAGAGAAAACGAUCGUCUCACCAAACCCGGCAGUGGAUAGUUUCCAGUUUGCAGAAUUCAAUAAACUUUCAAGCUUGGUAUCAGUGGAACAUCAUUAUCAAUAUACAAAGAGGUGGUACAUCUAAUCUAUAAGAAAAGAAAAUCAGUGUUGAUGCAAUUGAAGUUUGUUUAAAAUGUGGAGGUUACUUUGUUAUUUAAUGAUAUGUUAUGUUACAUUAGGAAGGAAAAAUCAGGAUUAAGAUUUUGACGUCAGUUUAGGUGUUGGUUACGUAUUGUAAUUUGUAGGUGUUGCUUACGUAUUAAUAAAAAAGAAUUUCAAAAAUACUGUAUUUAAUUUAAAGCAUAUAUUUAAACAAAAUCAGUGGCAAUGUAUAGUAAUUACAUUAAAAGCUGAAGGGCACCUCAAAAAAGGGCCUUCAGUUUUAAUAGUAUUGAUUCAAUUGAAAUUUAGGUGAUUUGUAUCAAAAUAACAAAUCCAUUGUUACUCAAACAUAAAUUUUAAAAGCUUAUUUACAAUCCGGCAUUAUUGAACUUCACAUUUUAU